AUUGAACGCUGGCGGCAGGCCUAACACAUGCAAGUCGAACGAGUGGCGGACGGGUGAGUAAUGUCUGGGAAACUGCGCGAUGGAGGGGGAUCACUACGGGAAACGGUAGCUAAUACCGCAUAACAUGGGAUGUGCAGAGAUGGGAUUAGCUAGGGGGUGGGGUAACGGCUCACCUAGGCGACGAUCCCUAGCUGGUCUGAGAGGAUGACCAGCCACACUGGAACUGAGACACGGUCCAGACUCCUACGGGAGGCAGCAGUGGGGAAUAUUGCACAAUGGGCGAAAGCCUGAUGCAGCCAUGCCGCGUGUAUGAAGAAGGCCUUCGGGUUGUAAAGUACUUUCAGCGAGGAGGCGUUACCCGCAGAAGAAGCACCGGCUAACUCCGUGCCAGCAGCCGCGGUAAUUC
rnacentral:rRNA from 1 species